CGAUAAAAGUAGAAUCCUUUGCUCGUCGUGGGACGAGCAACGCUCGACUCGUUCCACUCUGUUCCACGACGGGCAAGGAAUACGAAACGUAUCU